GCUCCUACCGAUUGAGUGAUCCGGUGAAUUAUUCGGACUGACGCAGUGCUCGGCUUCUGGACGUUGCGUUGGAAAGUUUCAUGAACCUUAUCACUUAGAGGAAGGAGAAGUCGUAACAAGGUUUCCGUAGGUGAACCUGCAGAAGGAUCAAGAUCGGCAGAGCGUCGCGUCGGGAAAGAGUAUAGCUCUCGGUGGUUGCCGCAUCAUUAAAAAAAAAAAUGCAGCAGUAGCUGCAUUCCGUCUCGGUUGUGAACUCCUUCCUAACAUCACCAGCUCC
rnacentral:misc_RNA from 1 species